AAGUCGUAGCAAGGUUUCCGUAGGUGAAUCUGCGAAGGAUCAUUAACACGUCCAACUUUAAAACCCCCUGUGAACCUUCAUUGUGAACCCCCAUUCCGUGAGAACGCGGCAAUCCUGGUAAAUCAUCGCCGAACAGUUUUGAUUCGGGAACCUCUGCAUGGUUUGGUCAGCUCCGCGAGACAAGUGGCCUGGCAUUCGUAAGAAUAGCGCAGUCAAAAUCGCCAGAGGCCAACACGGCCGGCGACCGGGUCCCCCUCUAUCACCCCUUUGCAUGAAACGGGCCUGCGCUUAAUCGUGCGACCACCAAACUUCGCAACUGUUAAAAAUGGAUAUCUUGGUUCUC
rnacentral:misc_RNA from 1 species